rnacentral:rRNA from 1 species
UACGGGGGGGGCAAGCGUUGUUCGGAAUUACUGGGCGUAAAGGGCUCGUAGGCGGCCAACUAAGUCAGACGUGAAAUCCCCAGGCUCAACCUGGGAACUGCGUCUGAUACUGGAUGGCUUGAAUCCGGGAGAGGGAUGCAGAAUUCCAGGUGUAGCGGUGAAAUGCGCAGAUAUCGGGAAGAACACCCGUGGCGAAGGCGGUUCUCUGGGACGGUACUGACGCUGAGACGCGAAAGCGUGGGGAGCGAACAGG